rnacentral:rRNA from 1 species
CCUACGGGAGGCAGCAGUAGGGAAUCUUCCGCAAUGGACGAAAGUCUGACGGAGCAACGCCGCGUGAACGAUGAAGGCCUUCGGGUCGUAAAGUUCUGUUGUUAGGGAAGAACAAGUGCUAGUUGAAUAAGCUGGCACCUUGACGGUACCUAACCAGAAAGCCACGGCUAACUACGUGCCAGCAGCCGCGGUAAUACGUAGGUGGCAAGCGUUGUCCGGAAUUAUUGGGCGUAAAGCGCGCGCAGGCGGUUUCUUAAGUCUGAUGUGAAAGCCCCCGGCUCAACCGGGGAGGGUCAUUGGAAACUGGGAAACUUGAGUGCAGAAGAGGAAAGUGGAAUUCCAAGUGUAGCGGUGAAAUGCGUAGAGAUUUGGAGGAACACCAGUGGCGAAGGCGACUUUCUGGUCUGUAACUGACGCUGAGGCGCGAAAGCGUGGGGAGCAAACAGGAUUAGAUACCCUGGUAGUCCACGCUGUAAACGAUGAGUGCUAAGUGUUAGAGGGUUUCCGCCCUUUAGUGCUGAAGUUAACGCAUUAAGCACUCCGCCUGGGGAUACGGUCGCAAGACUGAAACUCAAAGGAAUUGACGG